CUACGGGUUGCAGCAGUGGGGAAUUUUGCGCAAUGGGGGAAACCCUGACGCAGCAAUACCGCGUGAGUGAAGAAGGCCUUUGGGUCGUAAAGCUCUUUUCUUGGGGAAGAUAGUGACGGUACCCAAGGAAUAAGCACCGGCUAACUCCGUGCCAGCAGCCGCGGUAAUACGGAGGGUGCAAGCGUUGUUCGGAUUUACUGGGCGUAAAGGGCACGUAGGCGGCACAGCAAGUUAAGGGUGAAAUCCCGGGGCUCAACUCCGGAACUGCUCUUAAAACUGCUGGCUAGAGAUAGUCAGAGGCGGGUGGAAUUCCAGGUGUAGAGGUGAAAUUCGUAGAUAUCUGGAGGAACACCGGUGGCGAAGGCGGCCCGCUGGGGCUAUUCUGACGCUAAGGUGCGAAAGCGUGGGGAGCAAACGGGAUUAGAUACCCUUGUAGUC
rnacentral:rRNA from 1 species